rnacentral:misc_RNA from 1 species
CCACUCCGUCUCCUCCCGGUCCCGGCCUCCCCCCUUCCUUUCCCCUCAUGCUGAAUUCCCAUUCCCGGCCCGAUCCCCGCUCCCCGUUCCUCCACCACGGCCUCGCCCACGCCGCCGCCGUGACGGAGCACGGGGACCGGGCGCGGGGGAUGGACCCUCCAUCGUCGUCGGGCCGCCCCACCACGCCGCGCCGGCAGCUGCAGGGCCCGCGCCCGCCCAAGCUCAACGUCAGGGCGGAGUCGCACGCCAUCAAGAAGCACUCGGGGUCGGGGGUUCCGGCCCCCGGGCGGGCGCCCGUCAUCAUCUACGACGCGUCGCCCAAGGUCAUCCACGUCAAGCCCAGCGACUUCAUGGCGCUCGUGCAGCACCUCACGGGCCCCGGUGGGUCCGGCACGCCGCCUCCGCCGCCGCAGCAGCACGAGGGCCACAUGGUGGACGACGACGGCGGCGGCGGCGUCCCGCUGGGGCAGGCGUUCCUGCCCCCCGAGCUGCUGCUGUCGCCGUCCGCCGCCAUGUCCCCGGCCGCGCGCCUGGCCACCAUCGAGCGCUCCGUGCGCCCCAUGCCCGCGGCGGCGCCGGCCUACGGCGCCGACGACGGCACCCUGGCGGCGGCUCUCGGCCCCGCGCGCCACCCGGGCAUCCUGUCCCCGGUGCCGUCCUCGCUGCCGCCGGCCGCCGCGUGCGGGCUGUUCUCGCCGCUGCCCUUCGACGACCCCGGCAGCAUCAGCUGGCUCAACGAGCUCAGCCCCAUCCUCCGGGCAGCAGCGUCCGCGGCCAACGCCGGCGCCUCUUCGUCCGGCACCGGCCCGGGCAACGGCCCGCCGCCUCCGCCGCCGCCGGCCUACUACUGCGACCCGUUCGUCCCCAGCCCCCGCAACCUCCUCGCCACGCCCACCGUUCCCUCGCCGGCCACGUGCGCGGAGUUCUUCGGCAGCCUACCGGAUCUUUAGCUCGGCGCCCCUCCGCUUGCGUCCAGGUCCAACCAAGACAGAUAUGCAGCGCCGGCCCAAACUUUUGCGACAUUUUUCCACAAUUUUUCCUCUCUCUAUCUCUCUUCUGGAAGGUAGGGGCAAGUUGGUGUUGGUGGGCCCGCCACUGAUGCUAAUUUGAUUAGUGCAGAAAGGACGUGAGAACAGAAAAAGUUUUCCGGUAGCAGUAGUAGCAGCAGAUGACUACUAGAAGCGGCCGGCCACCACACCCACAUGCCUUUGUUUAUUUCUUCUUUUCCUUUAGAUUUACACCUCUUGUGUAGGCCAAGGAAAUGGUUGUUGUCGGCUUAAUGAUGGAUUUGUUAAUUCUUUACUAACUCAGUGAUGCGCUUAUCAUUAUGUCAUGCUGACCUGGUGCGUUGUAACCGAACUCACUAUGUAAACAGUUGGGGGCAAAAUCUGUUCCGCACCGAUUUUUACAUUUACCUCACUCGUAUUCUUAUUUCCAGACAAUUGUGAAAACGAAAUGAAAACGGGACGACCCGUAUUAAUACGACAUUACACUGUAUUCAACUAUGCUAUAUCCCGUUUUACAUUGUUAGUCAGUCCACUGCCUUGGUCUGCUCAUAAGAUGCAUCCUGAAUUUCUGUAUGCAAAAUUAUAUCUUAUAUUUCUAUAUAUAAAAUUACAGUACGACAUGGACAUAGAGAGGAAGGACCUCGAGCGGGAUGGUUUUUAAAUUAAGUUACUAUGGGCUCCGGAGGGUGUGCGUGGAGGACGCAAAAUUUAUAAUGGUUCGAACAGGACGUCCCUACAUCAUAUCGUCGAUGGCUUGCGCUACCGACACCAUUUAUGAUCAAACUCAUAAUAAGAGUUACAAGCGGCCGAGAGAGGGAGGAGGGACUCUCAGAUCUCUUAUCGGGGUGGAAGUGGAGCUUAGAAGCUGAGAGGUGGAGUCCUAGCUAAGUCUUGGCUUAGCGGGCCUCGGUUCUCCUAGUCCUCAUCGGCGCUUUCCUUUGCUCGAAACCUCCAUUUCCCUUUUAGUUUGAGACUACACACAUAAGCUUGAAAACAUGAUUAG